AAGUCGUAACAAGGUAACCGUAGGUGAACCUGCGGUUGGAUCAUUACUGAAUUUGCCUGAUGUCUGUUGUUUUCCGUGAGGGCUGAAAGGCUCUUCGGAUGCAGCAGAUAACAGCUUACCCCCUUUGAAGACCAUCAACCGAUUGUUGACAGCCCUUCUGCAACUGUUUGAUUAACUGUAAAGUUGAUUAAGCCUGAGCUAUGGGCUGUCGGCGCGUUUUUUGCGCGUGUGAAAUUUUUUCACGCGUCGCUAAAGAACAACUAUAAAACACCAUUUAUAUAUUAUCCAUUUUAAAUUUCGGCGCCGUAACAAGCCUGAGGUUUGAACUGUAAUGUCUCCAUGCGAUUCUUUUAAGAAACGCGUAUUUUUAAUAAGAUACAACUUUUGACAAUGGAUCUCUUGGCUCUC
rnacentral:misc_RNA from 1 species